rnacentral:lncRNA from 1 species
GGCAAAGUCCCAGCCUGCCUCCAAGUAUUCCCUUCCCCAGCCCCUACAGUUCUCUUGAGGCCAAGAUCUUUGCAAAGCCAGAGGCCCAAUAACAGGUUAUACAUACAAGACUGAUUGUGCCCAGCGCUGCUGCAUCUGCUCUCUGGCAGCACAUGGCUGCAUGUUUCUCUGGGCCCUGCCUGGUGCGCAGCAGCCAUAUCCUGGGCAGGUGUGCUGGGGCUGUUGCCUCACCUGGCCCUGGGAUGCUGGUAGCUCCGGAUUGACCAGGGUUUCUGAUGGGAAGGGAUGUACUACAGAGAAAUUCACUGUCCAGACAGGGAAACUGAGGACCAGGCCGUUCGCAGUUAGUGUUAGUACAGUCCUUCUUGGCCACUCUAAAUCCUCUGCUGCCUCUACAGCUGGAGGGUUCUGAUCCGUUGGCUUACAGGUGUGUCCUGUGGGCCACAUGGGGGUGGGUGGGUGUUCACAGCACACUGCCUGGAGCCAUGGUGCACACAGCAGGGGGUCUGAGGCUGCGCAGAAUGGCCCACUUCUAAACAAGCGUGUCUGAGCUUUGCCAGGUGUCCAUGUUUGGAACACAAUAAAAGAGGAGGUCUUCGAAAGGAGGUGACUCAGAGAAGCAACGCUAGACUCACCCCAGAGCUGCAACCUGCUAACUUCACAGAGCCUCACAGCAGAAUUAUUUAACCCCAAGCCCCCUCUCCUCAUGGGGACAAAAGAGAAAUCAGGCUGAUGCUAUCUCCCUCAUAGCACACUUAGGAGGAGCAAAUGAAACGGCAUAUGUAAAAGUGCAUUGUAAAUUGCAAAGUGGCAGAUGAGAUUAUUAUUACUGCUUCCUUCACCUCAACAAAGACCCAUAAUCACAGACAAUGCAUCGAGCCUGGUGAGGGUGUGGCCUUUCUUGGCCCUGCCCUUUCUCCUUGGCUCCUCCCACGCUCUUGGCUUUUCUCCUGGAUUCCCUGCUCUCCCAUCUGCAGCAGGUUGGGGCCCCAUGGAUAACUAUAUCUAGGGACCGACUCCUGGGAUCUUACCAAGUCACAUUUGCAGUUGGUGCCUCCUUAGUCACUGCCAGGAUUCCAGGCAGGUAUAAUGUGCUGCACUUAAUGUAGAGGAUCAGGGUCCCAGUGAGCAGCUUCAUCUUCAGGCGUCGGGAGUGGGAGCAAUGGAGCACCCAUGGUCUCCAGGUCUCAGGCCACUUGGGUCUGGGAUUUGAGGCUCAGGGGGAGGAGUCCUGCGGUGACUGCUGUGAAGUGGUGUGGGGGCUCAGGAUGGGACCUACUUCAUGGGACAUGAUGGAUGAGACUCAGGAUGCCAGGAGGGAGGCACAGCCCACACUUAGCAGCUUGGCGCACGCAAAUAGGAGCUCUGCUCACAGCCUGUGCUGGGCACUUCAUUUCCCAGAGACAACCGGCGCGUUUUAAUAAUGUCUACUUGGGUUAAUGAAAGUUGUCGGUUUCACUUAAUAAAUACAUUGCCAUUCUUGGCCACACAUAUCCGUCAUGCUGGGCCUGGAGCUGUGCGUCCCGCCUGAGUUGAGUAGGGAUGCUGGGAGUGGGAAUGGGGUGGGGAAAGCAUGGGGCAUAUGGGUAGAGAGUGAGGUCUGGAGGGCAUGGGACAUGGUCCCUCUUGGGAGUUAAGCAGAGGGAGUCCUCUCAUUGCAUCUUUCCUCUGGGAUCAAAUUAGAGGCACAAAGGGCAGAAGGGAACCUUGGAGGUUCCUCCUGUUCAUUCUCUGCCUCAGGGAAGUGACACACAGAAUGGCCCCUUUGGCAGGGAGCAGUGAGCCAUAGUGUGGUCCAGAGGGACGCAGGCCAUCUUGGGAAGGAAUCCCAGUUGACCACUCAUUAUCUCUGUAACUAAGUCAAUUAUUCAAUCUCCCUGAGCCUCCAUUUCUUCAGUAAAAUGGAGCUAAUAAUCAUAUUUGCUUCAUAGAGCCUGUUUCGAGCAUUCCAGCAUAAGCCAUGGGAAGCUCUUAGCAGGCACCCAGCAUCUAAAGCACUCAAAUCAGAGUCACUAGUAUUAUUAAUGUUAAAAUAUUAUUUUUAUGAAGGCACAGUUUAGUAUGGUGUUUAUGAGAGUGGAUCUGGAGUGUGGGUUUGGAUUUCGGGUGUAUCACUUACUAGCUGUGUCACUCUGGAGAAUUUAUGUAGUCUUUCUGUGUUUCAGUUUCCAAGUCUGUAAAAUACGGGGAAAUAAUACCUAACUCAUGGAGCUGUGAGGAGUGAGCAGAUUAUGACAUGUACAUCCUUUGGAACACAGACCCAAUAAAUGUUAAGAAUUAUUAAGUUGUCGAUUUCACAGGGCCAUGGGGGAGGGAAGUCCGG